UUCUGGGAUACUGAGAAAUCACCUGAGAGAACGAGUUAGAAAACCUAUUCAGUCUGAUAUGAUGAUUGUGAUGGCGAGCGUUUACAACGAGGGAAAAAAAGAAAGAAAAAGAAUCUGCUGAUGACCGUUUCCACUACAUGAGCAUCAAAACAUCUGUCAAAUAUAGAAUCUGUUUCAGUCUCACCACCACUGCUACUGUACACUAAAGUCUGCAAAUAUAUCACAGCAAGGACGACGUCACACAAAUGUCUUUUUUCUUCUUCUUUUUCAAAAUAAAACAUCCAAAAAUAUUCAACAUCUUACAAGAUAUCUAGAGGUUAAAGUCAUACAAAGUGUGCAAAUGUCACCAAACGCUCAUGAGACGACUCCAAAUGAAGGCACCAUACAUUUAGUUUCCACUCCAUCACAUGAACUGUGGCAGCCUGUCUGAUACCAAAUUUGACUAAGACCGCCCACUAACCAAAAAAACAAAAGGGAAUAAAUGAAAAUAAAAUGAAAAUGAAACAAGCAAAAUAAAACACAGAUGUAGUGCUUUUUCAUUUCCGGAAAAAUUGUAGUCAGUAGUGACGGAGUACCAGUUAUGCCUUGAUGCCAUUUAACAACCAGCCCACAUUUUAACACACUUCAGACAGAAUCGGAGCUGAAUAUGGAAGUCAUUGGUGAAUUUCUUGCAGUAGUUCACAUGAUACCCACAGCAGUGGUUUCAAUGUUGAAUCCAGUAAUUCUGACACUUUUUUGCAAAGGACACUGGUCCAUUUUUCCCCCUUAUGAAAAUACAUGGACCAUCUGAUGUUACACUCCCAUUUAAGUGAGAAUUUGGCAAUGACCUCAUUUCUGUAUGGCUAACACUCUGUCCUAACAAUAUAUAUUUUUGUACAAGGGUUCAAUAAAUUGGCUAAAAAGGAAGUGGCUAGCAGUGAUGUGGCGACCAAAGACCAUUAACACUCAAUGACUUUCAACGUUUUCAAGCAAUGACUGGCAAAAUAACCACGGGGCGUGGGAAGUGGGAGUUUCAGCGCUUUCCCCAACUUUGAGGCAAGCAAGUGCAGCGACUACCAAUGAGAGGGCAGGAUAGUGCUAAUUGAUAUGAGCAUGUGGUAAAUACAUCCCCACUAGUGUUCAACCUUUGUUACCAUCACCGUCUGCCCACUCACUGAUAUCCAAACAGUAUGGCUCCUUAAAAGUCCUUCCACCUGGCUCUACCUCCUACAGUUCACAGAUGAUUACUACAAGCAGAUCCAUCUAUGGAAGACUAAAUUAAUCAAAAAUAAAAGACCUCAUAUAUACAUCUAUGUUAUUACACCUAAAAUAUCAAAAUGCACAUUAAUUUUUUUAAAAUGACAUUUUUUAAAUUUCCUUUAAAAUUAAUUUAAAAUUCCUUUUUUUUUUUUUUUUCCAAAUUUCACUUCAGUGGUCUGUCCCAGGUCAUUUGAUGUGUCACUUCCUGUCAUCCUACUUCUGUACUGCACUGGCUAAUCAAAGGCCUGAAAACCCCCCAAAUUAAACUUAAAAUUAAAUAAAUGAAAAGGAAAAUUUAAAAAAAAUGGUAAGAACAAGUUUAAGAAACAGAAACAAAGAUAUGAAUUCAUGUCACAGUUUAUGAAAUGAAGCCUACAUUUGAUUUUAAUAUUUUUAACACUGAGUCAUCAUUUCAUUUUUAAUUUCGGCAGUUCUGGUCCUCCACAAUACUAUAUUUGAUAUACACGCCUGCGUAAGCAUUAAAGAUAUAAUUAAAGUAAUUACAGCCAGAAAUGGUGAUGCUUUCCUGGUGCAAAUGUUUUCUGUGUUUAAAGGUACUUCUAAAUUCAUGAACUUAACACAAAAAGGGCAACUGCCAGUGCUAUCCUUUUAGCCGCUUAAUAGAUGCAUCUAUUGUAUAAACUUGAAAAUCCUAGAUGAUUUUCAGAAAAGCUGACCUCUGACCUUGAGGUCAAGGUCACUGUGAUUUAAACUUAUACAAGAUUUUUAUUAGACACAACUAUAAAAGUUGACUUCAGAAACUUGGCUGGGUGAUGACAAUACACCAUCAGCCUUUCAAAACUGAGGCAUUAAGACUGCUUAUAUAUUUACUUAAAAAAAUUAAAAAACAAAACAAAAACCAACUACAUCAACAGAAUGUAAAGAAGCAACUGCUUCGAAUUUGUCAAACACAUCUGUGUACUGUGUUGAAGUGACAUCAACUGAUGUUAAAACAGGCCUGUGUCGUUGUUUCGUGUAGUACCACGAGAUGGCACAGUGAGUUACCCAAGAGCAGAUUCCCAUUUCCAAGGCUAACCUGGUAAAAUGCAAAUCGUCUAGAGGAAACAGGGCUGAGAGAAACGUUGGAAGUUUAACGAACAGCAGCACACAUCUGAACACGUUUUAUUACACCUGCUGUUAAAAAUCUGCUCCCUGGUGGUGACAUUUGCAGAGGGUAAAUAAAAAGGGUACCUUUAAAGACAAAACGGCACCUCUGAAAGGGCCAUUUUCACCAUUUAACAAAAUAUUUGUAGGUUAAGAAGAAUUUUAUAGGUGAAAGACUCAUGACUUCAAAGCCCUGACUACUGUUAACACCUUCAUCUGGUUAGUUUUAAUGAGCACAGUCUCCUUUUUCCCCUCAUUGUGAAACUCAGUCAUGAUAAGUGUCUUUAAACAUUCACAGGGAAACUUUAAUACUCUUCUUUUAGACAGUUCUGUAAGCAGUGGAGUGAAAAAGUAAAGAAAAAAAAAUUACCUCUUGCCAUGCAUAAACCCUGAAUCGUAGUUCAGCAAUGAUGGUGCACUAAUACUGAUAAGAGAUGCAUGACACUCAACUUCACUGCACACCAAAGUUCAAAUUCACAGAGCCACGCUCCUAAAGACAUUUCAGCAAACUGUCACUGAAAACGAGGCUCAAGUCUUCCUCACAGAGGACAAGAGGCACAGUUCAUCCUCUGUCGAGUAUGACCUAGGGGGGUGGGGGGGGGGAGAAAAAAAACCCACACAAAAGAAAGAUAAUGGCACGAAAAAGGUCAGAAGACAAAGUGUCCAUGUGCAAAAGUUCCCUUUUAAGACAGAAGAUGUCAGAAGCGGCUGUAGAUCUAAAGAUAACAAAAAGCAUGCAUGUCCUUCGUUGGCUGGAGUACAGAAGGUUUGUUUGGCUUUCAACCAAAGUCCAUAUUUCAUCUACUAUAUGACACUCCAAGCUAAGACUUCAUCAGCUAUAGAUCUCCAAACAAGCAAUGCCUCCUCACUUUGCCCAAAAGUCUACAUGAACCUGAUGGCAGGUUACAGUUGGCACUAAAACUUUUUCUUAAAUGGAUCUCCAGUGUCAGCCCGAGUCUGCAGCUCACAGACUCGGGCUAGACAGUAAAUUUGUGAGGAGAGGUUCUCUGGGUAAAAACUAGGGUGGACAUUUCUAAGCAAAGAGUGAUGAUUUCUCAAACGAUUGUGUGCAGUUGUGGCUAGCUUGCGACAUGUUAGCUCUACCUGGUGGACUUUGCAGUGGACUUACUAAGUAAAACAGUUCUCAUCGAGUGGAAUCACCGUCUUCCACUCCACUGCAUCAAUUCAAUGUGUUACAGUGGAGGGUUUGCAAAAACUACACACCUGGAGAGCAGAAGAAUAAAUCCACUGAUAUACAUACACGUUUCUAUGCAGUGCAUAAUUAAAGUCAAUAAGCUAAAAUAAUUAACAGAAGACCAUCCCGUGAGCAGCUUCUGCUGAACGGCCCGUCCUUUUCUACACAACAAGAUGAGCUCUGGCCGUCCUUUAGUCUAUUUAGUUGUUUAAUGGUGACCACCAAUGCCGCGUCUUAUAGUCAUCUGCACAUAGUAGUAACGUGUUACAGUAGCUCACUAGAAAAAACAAAAAUCGGGGAAAAUAUGUAUUUGAAGAUAACGGAUACACUUAGAAUUUAAUAAGCAUUCAAAUAUUUGAAAGCCAUGGCCAUUCCAAGCACAGCUGAUGGAACUUUCAACCCCUACUGGUGCAAUUCCACUUUGUUGCAUCUUUAGGUUUUCUAAUGUGCAUAUAGACAACGCAAAGUGACGCUGCGCUGGGUUAACUCGCUGAGAAACUAACGUACUAGUGGGAGAGCACUGAAUCAUAGGUGACCUCAUUUACAUACGGCAACAGUUAUUUUAUCAGGACGUUACCGUCUUUUUUCUAUUAGUUCUACUAAACCUUUUGGGCUGUCUUUAGGUAAAAUGAUUCUUGUAAAAAGGGCACUAAACAGAUACAUUACACCACUUGCCCAAUAUUCAGGCUGCUAACAGAGUCCAUGAUGUUGUAAGACGUUCCACAUGGUCACUUGCUUCUAGAGUUAUCUAACAUCUUAAAACGAGAAAGAAAAUCAUCCUUUACAGGCUUAAAUGUCCCGCCAGUGGAGUUUCCUCCACCUGAAACACAUCUGAGAUGUCACGCUGGAUUUACACGACUAGGUUACACCUGAAAGGUCGUUUUCAACAUGCAGCAGUGUUUUUGUGCAUCGGGGCAUACUUUGCUUUAUUGAGUCGUCCAUAAAAGGCAAACUCUAGGCCAGGGGUCCCCAAUCUCAGUCCACGAGGGCCGGUGUCCCUGCAGGUUUUAGAUGUGUCCUUUAUCCACCACAGCUGAUUUAAAUGGAUAAAUUAC
ensembl:lncRNA